GUGGGGAAUAUUGGACAAUGGGCGAAAGCCUGAUCCAGCCAUGCCGCGUGUGUGAAGAAGGUCUUCGGAUUGUAAAGCACUUUAAGUUGGGAGGAAGGGCAGUAAGUUAAUACCUUGCUGUUUUGACGUUACCGACAGAAUAAGCACCGGCUAACUUCGUGCCAGCAGCCGCGGUAAUACGAAGGGUGCAAGCGUUAAUCGGAAUUACUGGGCGUAAAGCGCGCGUAGGUGGUUCAGCAAGUUGGAGGUGAAAUCCCCGGGCUCAACCUGGGAACUGCCUCCAAAACUACUGAGCUAGAGUACGGUAGAGGGUAGUGGAAUUUCCUGUGUAGCGGUGAAAUGCGUAGAUAUAGGAAGGAACACCAGUGGCGAAGGCGACUACCUGGACUGAUACUGACACUGAGGUGCGAAAGCGUGGGGAGCAAACAGGAUUAGAAACCCUUGUAGUCC
rnacentral:rRNA from 1 species